CCCCUUUCAUCGGCGCGGGUCGCGGCCUAUAUUCAAUUUGUCCUUUCGAGGACUAUGGCGAUAAACGCGCGUGCAAUAAGCGGUUCGGACCCGGGGGCGGUACCCGGCGCCUCCACCAAUUCCCAUCCUUCAGCGGGACGGCUUUGGGGGCGAAACAGGAUCGACGGACGUGUAAAGACGAUGCCUUCGCCCGGAUGAGCUCCGUUAGAAGCUCACUCAACAAUAGUUGCAAAUGACAACUUUGCUGAAGGCGAACUGCUCGCAGCCUAGUCUGCGCUCGGUUUACCGAACUUAACUCCUAGGGCUUCAGCGCCUUAGGCGGGGCCCGGAGGCGCCUGGCAACAGAAGCCUCCACC
rnacentral:tmRNA from 1 species